UAGCCCUACGGGACGCAGCAGUGGGGAAUAUUGCACAAUGGGGGAAACCCUGAUGCAGCGACGCCGCGUGAAGGAAGAAGUAUUUCGGUAUGUAAACUUCUAUCAGCAGGGAAGAAAAUGGCGGUACCUGACUAAGAAGCCCCGGCUACCUCCGUGCCAGCAGCCGCGGUAAUACGUAGGGGGCCAGCGUUAUUCGGAUUUACUGGGUGUAAAGGGAGCGUAGGCGGUUU
rnacentral:rRNA from 1 species